GGCGCCGCCGGUGGCGUCCGGUCCCGCGGGGGCUGCGGGCGCGCUCCCGGGCUUCGCGAGCCCGCGUUUGCUGGCUGCGGGGCCUGGCGACCUUGGUCUGGUCUUCUCUGGUUGCACAGGAAGGCGGUGCCGCACUCCGCACCGGGACUGAGCCCCCAGUGGCCGCGCGGGCGCGUCGGAACCCGUCAGGACCUGUGGCACCCCUCUGCUGCCCCCAUUCUCGUCGCCCCGGAAGGGAACCCGCGCACUCGGAGCAGGGCUCAGGGACCCGCAUCCCGGCUGGAGCACUUUCUCCCCGCGUGACCUUGCCCUGGUCACCGAGAGGCGUGCGACCUGUCUCGUUCAUAGGAUGGGGAUCCGAGGUGGAGUGAAACCGAACGUGCGGCCCUGGGCCCGGGCGAAGGGCCCUCGGAGUCCUGCGCAGCCCUGGCACCUCACCUGGGAGCCGAGGCAGGGAGAGCGAGCGUGGCAAGACCGGCCCGGAGCGCAGAACCAGGACGUGCGGCUGCCGGGCGCGUCUCUCGCCUGUGUCUGUCUACGGUUUUUCCGUCUCAGGGUCUCUCCUUUCCAAUUCUGGUUUCAAUUUAAACGCCACUUCCUUUGGGAUGCCCUCCCUGACUCCCUUGGGCUGCCAUUGCUAUGUGCACAUACCUGAUGCAGAGUUUGGAAGUUGAGAUUGCAAAAGAAGGAGAGGUAGAGAUGAGGCUGAGGAAUUACUUCCCUUGGUUCAUUUUCUUCCUUGGAAUUCUCCGCCCCCAUGUGUCCCACCUUCUGCAUGGCCAGAGCCUUGGACCAACUCUUGCUAAUUUCCUUGGAGGAAAACAGAAUUAAAACAUGACCACCAGCAUCCACCAUUCCCAAUGACCCUGCUUCCUGGAAUUUGUGCCUUUGUAUAAACUUCUCCCAAGCUGAAUCAGAGUACUUCCAAUGAGUGUGGAGGACGAAUGUCUUUUGAGAGUCUCGCCCAGCCUGGGCUCCAGCUCUCAAUCCCUGGCCUCAGCUGCCCAGGCAGCUAGGAUUAAGGUGUGUGCCACCAUACUGGCUGAGAGUCGCUUUUCAGGAGGUUCUCACUUAAAAACUGGAAACGACCGGCACCGACCAAGAAGAGCCCUUCAGGCAGGGCAAUGGAAUUAACUAGGCAAGUAAUCUGUGAGGGGCUCCCAUGUGCUGGGAGGAGACAGUGGAGGACCUCUCUUUCCCCACGGAGCUCCUGGUCUAAUGGAGGAGAUGAAUCUUAACAAUGGCAAACAUGCAGGAAGGCUGGCAAGGGGUGGGCCUGUUGCUCUGGGUGUGCACCAAAGGAAAAAGGAGGAACUUGGAGAAGACGCUGUGUAGGAAGUGGAAGAUGGAAACGGGAAUGGAAGAGAGAAGACAGCCAGAACUAGGCCAGAGAACAUGUGGGAGGAUGCUUUUAUAACCAUAGCAAGAACUUCUGGAUUUGGCUGUCCUCCUGAGAUGAGUCUGUGGGAAGGAACAAGAAGAGGACACUGAGGACAAAUCUAGAAAAACCAACAUCCUGUUGGAGAGAAGGGAAUACGCUGGGUCAAAAUACCACUUUCUUUCAGCUCAGCACAAGAAAUAAAGUGAAGAGACAACUUACAGAAUGGGAGGACGUGUUGGCAAACUGUACUUAGACAAGGGGUUGAUAUCCAGCAUAUAUAUGGAACUCAAAAAAAUUCAUCAGCAAAAAAGCAAACAUUCAGUUUUAAAAUGGGCAAUAGACCUAGAUAGAAAUUUCUUUAAAGAAGACAUACAAAUACACAACAGGUAUUUGAAAAAAUACUCAUCGUCAUUAACCAUCAGAACCACAUGAGAUGUGACUUCCCCACAAUAAGAAUGGCUGAUAUCAAAAAGAGGAGAGAUAACAAGUGCUUGUGGGGAAAGAGGAAUCCUUUCAUGCUGUGGGGGGAAGAGUAUGAAUUAGUUCAGCCAUUAUUGGAAAAAGCAUGGCAGUUCCUCCAAAAUUGAAAAAUAGAACUCCCGUAUGCUCCAGCAAUCCCCCUCCUGGAUCUGUAUCCAAAGGAAACGAGAUGGAAAUGUUGAGGAGACAUCCGCUCCGGGUUCACCGUGUCACUGUUGACAACAGCCAAGACACAGAAAUAGCCAACGAGUCCGUCAGCUGGUGAAUGGGUGAAGGACGUGUGGUACAUAAACAGCAGAAUACUCUUCAGCCAUGCAAGGAAUGAAAUCCUGCCAUUUGCAACAACAUGGAUGGAAAUGAAGCUCUUUCAUCUUAAGUGAGAUAACCAGGCAUAGAAGGACAAGGACCACAUGCUGUCACUCAUGCGUGCAAUAUCGAAAAGUGGGUCUCAGAGAUGUUGAGAGUGGAAUGGUGAUUGCCAGAGGCUGGUGGGGGCACAGAGGGAGGGAGGUGAUCGAUGGAUGCCAAGCUGUGGUUGGGUCCAGGAACUCUGGGUUACUCUUGCACAGUAGGAUGACUGGAUGCUAAUAAUGUCCUAUUUCAAAAAGCUAGAAGAAAGGAAUUUCAGUGUGUUCACCAUAAAGAAAUGGCAGGUUUGAUUCCUACAAAGCUGCUCCUCCAUGACCCUGAUGGCAGCAUGAAGACCCCGAGCUGAGCAUUGGCGCACGUUCCCCGUCUGAUCAUCAGACCGCUCUUGCCAUGCUCCGAUCCGCUCUGUGGUGUCUUCACUCCACUAGGCUCAUGUGUUUCACUCUGUUUUGUUUUUGUUUGAAACAGGGUCUCACUAUGUUGCCAGGCUGGUUUCAAACUCCUGGGCACAAGCAAUCCUCCCAGCUCAGCCUCCUGGGUGCUGGGACUCAGGUGUGCAGACCGCCAUGUCCAUCACCUGCCCACCCUGCUUCACUCACUCUGGAAAGAACACUUGUUACUGGCUUUCGGGCCCAUCCAUGUCACACAGAAUGAAGUCCUCACUGAAGAUCCUUACUUUAAACUACACCUGCAAAGGCCCUUUGUUCAAAUAGGGCAAACUUCAUAGGCUCCAGGGAAUAGGACUCAUCGUUUUGGGGUCCACCAUUGAGGUCACUGAACUGUUCUGAAGUGUUUUGGGGGGCUGUUUGAGGCUGCAUGUAUCCCAUUUCUCGUGGCCUUUUGCUCCUUGGUGUUAGCCUCCAUUGAUGUUUCUCGGCUGAGUUGCUUACUGCUGUGAUGCUUGACAAAUGGUGAGGGUCCAACGCCACGUUCCUGCUACGCUGACGGAGUGGCACUCCAGCCUCAGGUAGGUCUCGUCCUCCUUACUCACCUUUAGAGGUCCUACUGGCUUGGACACUGUCACUCUGUUCUAUUCAGUGGGUACAGUCCAUUCCCAUCAUGGUUUUAAUACCUAACUUGCUCUCCGCCUGGCUGACGGGAGCCUCUGCAGGCUGGGCUCUGAGUCAUUCUGAUCUCCAUUAUUUUUGGAGCACUUCCUUAUUUUCAGACACAAAGAGCUAUUACAGCUGUACAACCCAGUAGCUAUAGUCAAUAACAAUGUAUUGUGUACUUGAAAAUCUAAUUUAAGUCCUGUCACCACAAAUAAAUAUGUGAAGUAGUGCGUUAGCUUGAUUUAGUCACUUCACGAUGUAGACACAUUUCAAAACAUCCUGUCGUACACCAUCAAUAUAUACAGUUUUGUGUUAAUUAAAAAACUAAUUUUUAUGGUGGACUGAGGCAGACAUCAUCACCCUAUGUACAUGCAUGAUUACACAAAUGGUGUGAAUCUACAUUGUGCACAACCAUAGAAAUGAAAUGAUGG